AGAAUCAACGCUGGCGGCGUGCCUAACACAUGCAAGUCGAACGAGAAAGUGGAGCAAUCCAUGAGUAAAGUGGCGACCGGGUGAGUAACACGUGACUAACCUACCUUCGAGUGGGGAAUAACCUCGGGAAACCGGGGCUAAUACCGCAUAAUGUCUUCGGACCAAAGGAGCAAUUCGCUUGAAGAGGGGGUCGCGGCCGAUUAGCUAGUUGGCGGGUAACGCCCACAAGGCGAUGAUCGGUAGCCGGCCUGAGAGGGCGCACGGCCACACUGGAACUGAAACACGGUCCAGACUCCUACGGGAGGCAGCAGUGGGGAAUUUUGCGCAAUGGGGGAAACCCUGACGCAGCAACGCCGCGUGGAGGAUGAAGCCCCUUGGGGUGUAAACUCCUUUCGAUCGGGACGAUUAUGACGGUACCGGAUGAAGAAGCACCGGCUAACUCUGCGCCAGCAGCCGC
rnacentral:rRNA from 1 species